rnacentral:rRNA from 1 species
AUUGAACGCUGGCGGAAUGCUUUACACAUGCAAGUCGAACGGCAGCACGGGGCAACCUGGUGGCGAGUGGCGAACGGGUGAGUAAUACAUCGGAACGUGCCCAGUCGUGGGGGAUAACGUAGCGAAAGUUACGCUAAUACCGCAUACGAUUUAAGGAUGAAAUCGGGGGAUCGCAAGAACUCGCGCGAUUGGAGCGGCCGAGGUCGGAUUAGGUAGUUGGUGGGGUAAAGGCCCACCAAGCCGACGAUCUGUAGCUGGUCUGAGAGGACGACCAGCCACACUGGGACUGAGACACGGCCCAGACUCCUACGGGAGGCAGCAGUGGGGAAUUUUGGACAAUGGGCGCAAGCCUGAUCCAACCAUUCCGCGUGCAGGAUGAAGGCCUUCGGGUUGUAAACUGCUUUUGUACGGAGCGAAAAGGCUCUCUCUAAUACAGGGGGCUCAUGACGGUACCGUAAGAAUAAGCACCGGCUAACUACGUGCCAGCCGCCGCCGUAAAAC